GAUGAACGCUGGCGGCGUGCCUAAUACAUGCAAGUCGAGCGAACGGACGAGAAGCUUGCUUCUCUGAUGUUAGCGGCGGACGGGUGAGUAACACGUGGAUAACCUACCUAUAAGACUGGGAUAACUUCGGGAAACCGGAGCUAAUACCGGAUAAUAUUUUGAACCGCAUGGUUCAAAAGUGAAAGACGGUCUUGCUGUCACUUAUAGAUGGAUCCGCGCUGCAUUAGCUAGUUGGUAAGGUAACGGCUUACCAAGGCAACGAUGCAUAGCCGACCUGAGAGGGUGAUCGGCCACACUGGAACUGAGACACGGUCCAGACUCCUACGGGAGGCAGCAGUAGGGAAUCUUCCGCAAUGGGCGAAAGCCUGACGGAGCAACGCCGCGUGAGUGAUGAAGGUCUUCGGAUCGUAAAACUCUGUUAUUAGGGAAGAACAUAUGUGUAAGUAAGUGUGCACAUCUUGACGGUACCUAAUCAGAAAGCCACGGCUAACUACGUG
rnacentral:rRNA from 1 species